CCCCAAUAACUUAGGGGUUCGCCGCGGUAAAAGGUGCAGAGUUCAGCAGCCUCAGAGAGUUGCUGCCGCCGCUUCUUCUCCCAAACCGGAAGCCCGCUCUUCAAGUUCUUUGAAGCUC